rnacentral:rRNA from 1 species
GACGAACGCUGGCGGCGUGCCUAAUACAUGCAAGUAGAACGCUGAAGAGAGGAGCUUGCUCUUCUUGGAUGAGUUGCGAACGGGUGAGUAACGCGUAGGUAACCUGCCUUGUAGCGGGGGAUAACUAUUGGAAACGAUAGCUAAUACCGCAUAACAAUGGAUGACACAUGUCAUUUAUUUGAAAGGGGCAAUUGCUCCACUACAAGAUGGACCUGCGUUGUAUUAGCUAGUAGGUGAGGUAAUGGCUCACCUAGGCGACGAUACAUAGCCGACCUGAGAGGGUGAUCGGCCACACUGGGACUGAGACACGGCCCAGACUCCUACGGGAGGCAGCAGUAGGGAAUCUUCGGCAAUGGGGGAAACCCUGACCGAGCAACGCCGCGUGAGUGAAGAAGGUUUUCGGAUCGUAAAGCUCUGUUGUAAGUCAAGAACGGGUGUGAGAGUGGAAAGUUCACACUGUGACGGUAGCUUACCAGAAAGGGACGGCUAACUACGUG